CGGCGCGGCACCUGAUUGGCCGGGCCGGCCCGCGGAGCGGCGGCACCGCCCGGCGUGGCCCCGCCCCCGGCCCCGCCCCGCGGCCGCUCGGGGGGCUGCGGCGCGCGUGGCGCCGCCUCAGGGGGACCCUGGCCGUUAUCUGCGCGCGGCAGCGCCUGGGCCGUGACGGACCCCGUCCGCCGCGCGGGGAGGAAGGCUGCCCUGCGCCGGGCGGAAGCCGGGAGGCCAUCUUGUGUGAGCGCGGCCGGGCGGCGCCCCGCUCGGGGCGCGCUUGUCCCCGGCGGGCCUGGGCCCGGGCCCGAGGCUGCCUGCGCCACCCGCCGUGGGUCAGCCCGGCCCGGGGCCCGGCAUCCUCAGGGAGGACUGGGAAAGGACGAGGGUCCCCCACUCCCCCCACCCCCGCUUUGUUCAGUCCAGGGGUUUUGUGAGUCAAAUCUCGUUUGUCUUCGUGAAAAAUACUUUUAGCAUAGGCCAUAGCAACGCAAAUCGGGAAAGAAUUUGUCGGAAGUCACUUAGAAAAAGGCUGUUUGUUAAAAGAAUUCGUUCAGAUAAAUAUGUACAUAGGCACAAUUGUAAAAUGCCACCAAAAUAUCACAGAAGUAGUCUUUAAAAAUACCUGAAGUGUCAUAGCUCUACUCUAUCCUAACUCAAUGCCACUGAUAAAGCAAAUUAGAAGAUGAAAUUACACUCUAAUUUUAAUAAUUUUGCAUUAUUUUAACUUACACAAUUUUCAAAUGCUCAAGAAGAAAAGAGGCCCUUUGACAUGGAUGGUUGUAUUAAAACAGAUUUACAAUGUGGCAUUACUGGCAACAAAUUAAUAUCCCUAGCUUGAAAAUGAUCCUGGUGAUUCAGUUAAGUAAUUUGCUAAUGAACAGUAAUCCUUAGCUAAACUUGAUAAAGUCAGAGGGAAAUCCUAGGGCACUGGGACAGGAAGUGAAUUCCAGAAAAAGGAGUUCAUGUCAAAUUUAAUCUGGACCAUUUCCUGAGUAAGCAGAAAUAAUAAUCGUGCAAGCCCAGAUCUUCGGAAUUUCCUGAGAAGACUCUGAACAACACAACUAUGUAGUAUAGAAUUGAAACAACAGAGAAGGCAAAGGCUGUUCAGUGAGAGAGUAGGGGUCCGAAGAACUUCUGUAUGUAUUAUUUGGUCACUCCCUUUGCCUUAUGAAAGUAUUUUUUCUUCUUGGUGAUAUUGCAAGAGUCAUCAAUAAUCAAGAGAGUAAACUGCUGCGGAAGAACACUACUCAUCAUUGCCCUCGGGGAACAGCCUAUAAAGGGCAGGAUUCUUCAAGUACUUUUCCAGUUGUUCACUCAGCUCAGUACUACCAGAUGCCAAAAGAUCAAAGAACGUGACAUGACAGCAUUUAAGGGGAAUCUGGAGUGAUCUUGAUCUCUCAUGAUGAAUGGUCAAAAUACAAAACCACGCACCUGUUAAGAGGCUGAACAUGCUGGAGAAAUACUUUCAUGUAGCCUUUUAUGACCAUCUUCACAGCUUAUACCUGUCAUGCCAUUAGUAGUUCUGUUCUGCUAUCACAUGCAGAGGAAGAAAACUGAUGUUCUGUAAGAAAAAACCUUUCCGUUUCAGAAUUCAAUUUUCAUUCAUCAUGGAGUAAGCAGGUAACACUUACUAUCAUUGGUCCAGUGUAAAAAGCAAUCUUAUUGCAAUUUAGUAAGUGAAGCUGGCUAUAUUUAUAGCUGAUAAAUUCUAGUUUCUAUUACAUUUGGACAAUAAAUAUGCCUCCUUAAAUAUUGCAGCUGCAGUCUGAGUGUGUUUAGUUAACUUGUAAUUUACUCUUUACUUUUGCAGACACAAUUGUUCCUUAUCAAACAUCUAAUUGCACCAUUAAGAGAACAAAAGUGUUUUCUCUAGAUCCGAUUUUCAAAGUUUAAUUGCAGGAAUGGUCACAAUGUCUUAAAAAUCCUGUUUCUGUAAUCACAUGAACACAUUCCAUUUUCUAUUAUUAGAGAACUAAAAAGGGAAAAAGU